UAUAGCUCUGUUAAAAGAGCUGUAGUAGGGGGUGUUGUUUUGAAGUGAGUGUUAGGAAUGUUCUCCAGGCUUUGUUGAGGACUGGCUCUCAGGAAUCAGCCACUCCGACAGUGUCUACACUGAUUUUUUCAUCAGUAUGUCCACAGGUAUUUGUAAAAAGACAUGGAAUGCUAUUUCUCUCUGCAUUUCAGCAUAAGAAGUUCCUUUUUUCCCAUUCAGUGCUGCCCGUACAGCUCCAUGCAAGUCCGGAGCGGCGGCGAUUGGAGGGCACUGAUUUCCAACCAUGCUCUAAGAUGAGAUUGUGGACGAAUCCCCGUCACGGCUACCCAAGCCUGGAUCAUUUCGACAACCCCAUGCUCCCAAACGUGGAGAACACUGCUUUAAUUCUUCUGAGCUGGAUUAAAGGGAACAUAUGCCAAUGGCCCCGCGCGGCAGUGACAGAGCGGCCAUAACUCACUGCUACCAGCGAGCUCCGACUAUUUAUUUAUCAAGUUCAGCCGACAGACUUCUAAGUGAUUUAGAUGUUCCCCAAGAUAAAAACAGUGGAGUAGUCAGGGGCUUUGCAAAUCUAGCGUUGCAUCAGCAACUGAAAGGGACCAAGAGGGAGGGAGGUUGAAGCAGCUUGUGCGUAAAUGAGCACGUUUUGGUCUUCUUGCUGACUGACAUUACCAAAGACAGCGCAUUUUGCUGCUCUUUAGGCACGUCCCUUAUUUGUUUUCGGUACAGAAAAGGAAACAGUAUAGGGAGGACGGGACAGAGCAGCACACGAGACGCCAAAUCAAAAGACAAGUUAAAAAUGGCACGGAUUAGAACAAGGGAGGCCUUGGGGAGAGGGAAAAAAAUAAUCGGUUCCUAAAGGGAAUGAAAACGUCACCUUCAGAGGAUGACAGGAAUUCCUCAUGUAGGGGAUUUAGCAGUGAAGGACAGAUUCCCUUUUUUUUUUUUUUUUUUUAAAUUGAAAGGCAAAAUAUAUGUUAAGCCUGACAAGCAUUUUUGAACUUUGAACUCUCUGACCUUUGAAGCCCCCAGAAUGAACCUGGGCUGACUCUGAAGGAAUGGCAACAAAUGGCAGAGUCCGUCCCUCUGUUGGCUUCAUCUCUCCUUUACAAUCCAGACAAGGAAGCCCAAUUUUGCCCCACUUUGCACCUUCCCUCCGUCUUUUCUCUGCUGCUGCCUGGGGCCAGCACAUGAGACAAUCCUCUGUGGUUUUGGGAUAUUUUCUGAGUUUAGAGUUAUCAAAUAAAAAUAAUGUGUCUUAUGGGAAUGGGAGUUUAUCUUCCCGUCAUGAGAACAGUAAAUGCCAGACAUUGCCCUUAAACCUGGAAGCCUGCAGCAGGCACAGUGCAAGAAGAGUGAGAGGAAAGUACAUGGAGCAAAGCCUCUCACCUCUGCUGCACUGGGUUUGCUGGAGCAUUUCUGAAUUGAGAAAAAGGAGAGAGAUGUUUGCGUCCCCUCCUGAGCUUUGCUGCUCCCUCCCUACCUGUUCUACGUCCUCAUAAAGUGUAAAAUAGUGCCAUCUACUGACACUGUAUUUCAAUACUCUCACCAAAUGGCUCCAACAAGCUCUGGGCACUCAGCAGGAGACCUCAAGAGCUGAUUUUGUAUCCCUUGGUCACUGCAUUAACUCUCUAACAUGCUGCUUGGGUGGCAAUAAAGCAGCCAUAGACCAAUAAUUGAGAUGAAUGUUAGUUUCUGAUAACACCAAAGUCGCAGGGUAAAAAUGAUAUUAGCCCCAAAGGUAAAAAUCUAUCAUGAUAUCACCUUGCUUGUAACUGCCAUCACCCAAAAGCCAACCACAAGAGCAACCCAAUGUUGGACAUAUAUGCCCAAUACCAGCGAGGGGAGGGUUAUUUUGAAAUACAUGUAUAACCCAAGUUUUUAAAGUACAUAAACUGUAUGGAAGGUGCGCACUCAUCUCAGGACAGCCUCAACUUGGAAUAGCUUGCACAACCUACUGUGUUACUUCCCAGAUGGUGUUUUCCCAUUUCCCAGCAGAUUUACCCCAAAAAUAUCCUUUGCUUUACCUCCUGUGUGGGUGAGGUACACGCAGCCCUCCCAGGCUGGCUCCUGCAAGCUGCUCAGCUCUCCAGUCCCUCCUCCAUCCUCCCACCCAUCACACUGCAGCACGCUUUGGCUCCUUGGCCAGAAGUCCUGACGUGACAAAUGAAUCUGUGUAACUUUCCAUUUACCAGCCUCCUCAAAGAGGAUAUGCAAGCGUGUGAUUACAGCGCGUUAUCAGAUACCAGCACUGGGAUUUUUCCCUCUCCUGUUGUUUUUAUGAUGACGAUGAGUUGUUGCGAUCUUUAUUUUACAAGACAGCGCUCGUUGGCUGGGCCGGUAGAGGAGGGUCACUGAUUGCUGUGACAUCCCUGCAGGUAUAAAGGCCGGUGAUUUACGGCAGGGGAAAUUCAUAUUAACUAUAAAUAUCUUAAUAACUAGCUGCGAGGGGGAGAGAGCGGGCUGUCCAUCCAAUGCAGACUAAUUGCCAUUUAAUGGGCAGCGUCUAAAACUCUCUAAAACAAUGCUCCUGGCAGAGGGUGUUGCUGAGGUUAUAGAAAGGGCUUUUAAUCUGCGAGAGGAAACAGGGCACAGCAGUGCGACUGCUGCCCUGGGCUCAGCCCUGCAAGCCUGCAUCUCAUGGGAGCUUGUUAUCUCAUGGCACACAGAUGCUGUCUCCUGUCCCUGGCCAAUGACUGGACCCAAAACACCCGACUCUAUGUGUCCUCCAGCUACCCUGUGCCAAAAAACGUACCUCAAAGCUCCUACACAUCAGACUGGAAACUCAGGCUCUGGUUAAUUUUGUAAUGUUUGAGUGCUUUUCAUCCAGGAAGACUUACAGGUAGCUUAGGGGUAAAUCGGAAGAGAAAGGUGAACAACUUUGGUUGUGCCUUUUGUGGUUUGCCUUUUGGGCUUCCUGCAAAGUGGGAGGUCUGGAGACACCUCUGCUCUUUAUGACCACCCUAUGGGCCCCUUGUCCAAAAAGAACUCAUACUCACCAGCUCACCCCAUUGGUUUUGUGUUCUUAAUUCAGGAAAGACUGCUCUUUGGAGCAGUGCCUUCCCCCAGAUCUCUACCUCCUUGCUCCUCUCUUAGCUCAGACUUCAAAGGAAUCCAACCCCUGUGGCACUUUCACUGAAGGGGAGACAAAUGAGUCUGGGGAUUGUUCUCAUUUUUUUUGACGUAAAUCCCAUGGCUUUUGGUUCCCAGGAUCUCUUUCAACCUAUAGGGAGGUUUCGUCUGUAUCGUGUCUAAGCCAGAGGACCUCCUCAGGGUUUACCCCCUUAUUAAGGAAUUUAUGAAAAUAAAAGGACUGUGAGGUGACCCAUGGUUCUGCCUACAUGUAGGAUCAUUUACAGUUUCUUUGAGAUCAGCUGGCAGGAAGCACUGCUCGUAUAUUAAACGUCUCCUGCCUUUCUACCCAGGAUCAUGGCUGGGGUUCUGCACAGAAGUGAGUGAUGAGGAGCUGCAGAAAUAGUUCAAAGGUCUGCCUGUUCCCCUGGUCAGCCAUGCUAUGUGAUGGAGUGUAGCUGAAAAUGUUAUUAAUGUACCUACUGUUUUAGCAAAAACUCUGCAAAGUUCCCUGCUCUAAGAGUAGAACUGCUUACCGCUAAUGUUAGAAUCAGAAUUGUUUGAGUUGGAAGGGAUCUGUAAAGGUCAUCUUGUCCCAUCCCACUGCAAUCACCAGGGACACCUACAGCUCCAUCAGGAUGUCCCUGUUCGUUCCCUUUUCUCACGUUUAAUGAAUUUUAAAAUGAGCUAUGAAAUAGUUAUCAAUAAAUUUGGACUUUGAAAUUAGUCUAAAGUUCUAGAAAUACUCUACAAAGAGCAUUAUUUGGAUCAGAAGAAAAUGUCUCCGAAGAGCAGGGGGAUUGGUAAAACACUUGUCAAAGGAGACAAAUGCUCCAUUAUGCUGUAUUUAUUUCCCAGCCUGCAGUUAGGCUGUGUGAACUGCUCACAGCUGUCCCGAGGCCGGGCAGGCUCCUGGAGAGCCCGUCCUCAAACAAGCCAUAAAUGUGGGCUGCAGAUGCUGGUUUAUGGAACAACUGCACACACCCAACAGAUCCUCUCUGGUAAGUACAGAAAGUGUGGAGAUGUUGCUCCUCCUUCUCUGUGUCUCUUUUAUUUUUGCUGCUUGUCACUCCGUUUUCACUCAACACUUCCCAUUUAAGCAUCAGUAUCGACAGACCAGUGUGCUGGCUGCAGAUAACUGCAAUUGUUUAGGUGUUCCAGUACUCUUGUAGUCUCCCCGGUAUCACCCAGAAGAGUUUAACAAGUCAGAACCUGAUAGGUAAAUUGCAGCCUUCAUCACCAUGACUUGCAAAAUCAGCCUUUUCCAUAACCACCUGGAAAAAAAAAAAAAAACAACCCCAAUCUGCACAGCAAGAUCAACAUUUCCUCCAGAUAUCAAUGCCUCUGCAGCUCCAGCAAACGUGAUGGCAGAUGCUGCCAUCCCUCAGGGCUGGUUUUCAUGGACUAAAAAUCAGCUCUUUAAGCUUUUCUGAAAUCAGGCUGCAACGCAAAACCUCCCCAAGCUCUUCUCAAACUGGAGUCACUUGUCUGUGUUGAAGGCCAAUUACCUGCAUGAGCAAUCUUCCUUGUAAAGUCGUUUAUUGGAAAAGAGCACAUCACUUCUCUGCCCCUGUUCAAAACAGAGAUGACUCCAGUGCAGAUGCAAGUUUGCAUUUUGGAAGCAAAGCCAAUGUGAAAGCACCAAGAAGAGAAUUAAAGUUGCCUGAUGCACAGUGCUUAAACAUGCUCCUGCCUCAUGGCACACAAAAUUUGGUGUCAGAAAACAAAAGGGUGGAGGACACAUUGCUGCAUUGGGGGUCCACCCUCCACCUCUUCCUUACAGAUGUGCAUCUGAAAAGGGACCCCAGCAUCCCCUUGUUCUGAUUUGUGUUUGAACACUGAGGCAACAAAUGCAUUAUCACUCUGUAAAAUGUGAAAUGGAGGUGGAAGUAGAAUUUGUGGAGGGAGAAAAUGGGUUUUAUAGGACUGAGUGAGGAGAGGUGAGCUCCAGGCAUGCCAGCUCCACCUGGGGAUGGACCAAGCUCUGCCAGUGCUGAGCUUGCCCAGUUUACUCCAGAAAAACACUGAAUUUUCUCAUCUCCGGUCUGGAUUUGCAGUGGGAGAGCUGAUGUUUAACCCAGGGGAUCAGAAAACAGACCCCACCAUUUUCACUAACCAAGAUGAAGACAGAGGGGUGGAGGUUCACCAAACCACUUUCAUUAGAUGCUCUCCCAGAUCCAGAGGCCUGCCCUUCAGCACAUUGCCAGCACACCCCAGCCGUCUUCACCAGCUUUUCCUCUACCCUGUGAUAUCACAGCAACCCCACAAAGCAUCGCCAUACCUACAUGAGGUGAGUUGACCUCCUCUGGUCAACUCCAUUCCACAUUGCAAAUGAGCAGCUCCGCAGCCUACACCUUAUUUUUGUUCUUGGAAAUAAAUCUGACUUGAAAAAUUGCUCUGAUAAAUGAACGAGCAGAUUCAUGGCAUGGAGGGUAAUCCUCAAGGGGAAUGGAAAGAAUACAGUUUGGCAGUAAAACGCUGGGUAGUUGGUACAUAAAUUUCUCACAAGCAUGAAGACAACUGGCAGGCAAUGUCAAAGGCAUUAACACCUACCAUUGAGCGUAAUUAUUUCAGUCUGUUACCAGUCUCAGGGUUAAUAUACAUUUCAAAAACUCUGCGAGAAAUCAAAGUCCGGGAGGUCUGUGCAAGCCAUUUCAGGAGGCUGUAAAUUUUAUUUUAAAAGGAAGAAUUUAGAAUUGCAUAAACAGUGAACGUUUUUCUACUGAAGAGAAGAGCAUUUUACAGCAUCAGCCUUAGCCAACAAUCAGGUUGUCUUUUGCGUUAAAAAUCUUUAAAUUCAAAAUUACAUGCAUGUUUCAGGGGAAAAUAGCUGUAGAAAGACUAAAACACUAAGGGAGAAAGCCUCAGCAAAACGUCUCCUCCCACAUACAUGCUUUUCCCAUUAAACGCAGUGUGUGGACUGUGAUAAGAACUAUUUGUAGACGAUUUACUCGUGCUGAUCAUUCCUAUUCCCCCCCACAUGUUAUCCUCAGAUACAACCAUCUCAGCUACCUAUGACCACCAGGGACCUCGAGAGAAGCCAGCUCGUGAAAAUGUCUUCAUCCAAACAACAGCAAGUAUAAUACUUUAACAGCAGAUGCAACAGGAAAAACACAAUUGAUGGCUGCAGGGAGGAUUAUCCACACUGGAUAUCCAUCCUGCAUGGAAAAGAUAUUUUGCUGUCAGUGUUUUAUAAUACUCUUCUGAAAUGUGGGGUACAUAUUCUGGUGUUUAGCUAGCAACUGAUUCAGAACUGACACAGUUACUACAACAUGGUCAUAUCCAAGGGACUUCUACUACUCAAGAGAACUUGAGCAUCAGCCUCUUGGAAGGCUGAGAAACGCCCCUGUGGAAAUCCCAUUCCCUGCACUAUCUUUCUUUUCCUUGCACUGGUUUUAUGGACAUCUUGAUUUUUUUUAAAUACAUGGGAAAAUUUUCUGCCAGAUUCUAAGUAAUCUUACACAAGCAUUCUGCCAUUGCAAUAUAUAUAGCAUCCUUUUCAAGCAAUGGUGCCGUUUUCUUUUAGCACCAAAUGUUCAGUGGAAGAUUUGGAUGGGCUAUUUGUCAGGACUUUAAGCCACUUUGUCACAAUGAUGGUGAUAUGGCUCUGCUUGCUGAAAGCCUUUCCAGCCAUGGCACCAGGAGCAAGAAGAAAUUAAUCUCCUUGUAAGUUAUUCAUCAUUCAUUGUCAGCAGAGCCAGCGGGCUGGUUAGCCUUCAGGUAUUGGUCACCUGUGAAAUAGGUUCAGCCUCUGAAGAGCAAGGCUGAGGAAGGUAAUAAAGCACUCUGAAAAUUAUCUUCCUCCACUGCCUUCAGCUCCCACUGCCAUCUGUUUGUGCACAGGAGGAUGUAAUUCCUUGUUUUCCUGUGUACAAAUUCACCACAGUUAAACACCACGAGCUAAAUCCUCAUCUGAAGGAAGUCAAAUUCUGUGGGAUAAUGCUGAUUUACACCAGCCCAGGAGCUAAUCCUUUGAAUGUGGACAGAUCUUUGAGUAAAAUAAAACCAACAGCAGCAAUUCAUUGAAAAAAAAACCCUAUAAAUAGAUAGAUUAAAUGAUACCCAGAAGGAGAAAGAACUCCCCUAUCCAAAAUCAAAGCUCAGGGCAAUAGCCAAAAAGCAAUGGUAUCGUUUAGGGGCAGAUGAAAGAACAUGUAAGUUCAGCAUGAUGUCAUGGCUGUUUAUGCAGUUAAAUCGCUCUUUAUCAUACACCAGACACAUAAUGACUUUCUAAGGCUCCCACUGGACGGAUGGUCCAUCUCUGUAAUAAAUGUUGACAAGUUUUAUAUAAAACUGUAUAUCAUUUUCAAUUCCCAGCGUAGCCAUUUGAACCUGUGAUUAAUAACCUCACAAAUCUUAUCUGUUUGAAAAUAAGAGGAGCUGGGUUUGUUUCCUUCAGAUUAGGGUUCAGGGCUUAACAACAGGAAAAUAGCCUGCUGAGAUCACUCUGGUUUUCAUGGCCCAUAAAAGUAAAAAUUAAGAAAAUAGAAUUUAAAAAUACGUGAAACACUCAUAUCACAAAGCAAAUAAGAUACUUCAUGAGUCGCGAUAACAUUGAUUCAUGAAGUCUGUAACCAAACAAUUGUUUUAUAUCAGGCAGAAUAACUGUGAACGGAGAGAUAGGCACUUGUACAUUUAAAUUAAAACACUAAUUGGCCGAUAAGAUGUACCGCAAAAAAAUAAUCUCCAGACUCGAACUUCUUGGUGGCUUGUCAAAGUGAAAUGAGAAAGCUUUGGGCAAAGAUAGAGGGCAAAAUAGGGAAAGAAUUUGGGAUCUCAGGUCCAAGUUUGGCUUGGCUACAGUUGGUAUCCAGAAACACGACAAAAGAGAGAAUCUUUGUGGAUCGGAGUCCCUGGGAUGCUGCUGUAUCAAAGGCAACAUUCGGGCAGUGGUAAAGCUGGUGGAUGAUCUGCAAUUGCUUUAGCUCAAUCCAAGUGGGAGGACUUCCCAUCCUCACGCGCUGCUCCUGCUCAAUCAACUGCAGUUGUAAAUUUGUUUUGUUUCAGGCUUAAAACUCGGUACUUAAAGAAUUCCUACCAUGCCCUCUGAAAAGAACUGUCUCUGAACCUCUACAACUGUAUCCUCUUCUUCCAAACUCCCCCACUACCAUUUUGCACCAACAACCAAAGCCGUUCACCAGUGGCUGAUGAAAAACGCUGAUGAGUCCGUUUUCCUGCAGAACACCAGCAGAAAAGGAUGAAAAGGAAAGCAUCCAAUCUGUGUUUUUCCCCUGGCGUGUAUCAAAAUACAUUCAUCUGAAAUAUGUCCUCUGGUUUGAUUUUACAUAGCAAUUUUUCCUGAGAAAUCAGGUACUCCGUGCCAAGAUUUUAAUUUAUUUGGAAAUGCAGCUUUCCGCCCAAAAUUGUCAGCAGAUUUUCUCUUAAAAGUGCUUAGAGUUAUUGCAAUAUUAAAAAGAAAAAUUACCUUGCCUUUGACUUCCACACAGUGAGCUGCUCACGGAGGCUGGAGAUAAGCACUGAGAACUGAGUGCACUCCUUAAUUAUAUCUCCUUGAUAUAAAACUUCUUGUCUGCCUUUGAUUUUAUGGCACUUCCAUACAAAGUCAGGGCAGGGAUGAAAAGAGCCACUUUUGCUUUUUGUUCAGUGAAAACUUUGUGUGUCACCAACAAUGCACAUCAGUGAGGGAAGCAUGGAACUGAAAAAUGAGGUGGUUUGUGGAAAAUUUGAAUAACCUUUGGAAAAAAACACAACUUAUCCCUGCAUUUUCAGAUCAAUGUGAAUGUAAGGAUUUGAGGACAACAGUUGUCCCUUCCAGGGCCUGGAUCUGAUCAGGUUAACACAUUUUUAGGGGAAAAAAAAUCACUGAUUUAUUUAUUUUUUAAGAGUGUUGUUAUUCAACCACGGAACACCUCCUUCUGUCAGCCUGACAAAUGCUCAAUAGGCCCCAGGUUUCCAUCAGCCAGAUGGAAAUUUUCUGCUUUGUGACAAUGGAAAAACAGUUUCACUGAAAAAUGAGGGAAAAGAGUCAACAAAAUCAGUCAAUAUUGAUAGGUUUUUAGGAUGAGAAUAACACAUUCCAAAUAAUAUCUGGUUAAUAAUGAAUGCGUAGGAAUAUAACUUAGUCCUGCUGUUUUAAUUUGUCCUUUUAUAGCAUCCAUCUAUUUAAAAAAAAAAAUUAAAAAAAACCAAAAACAUAGAAACUCUUAAACCCAAGUGCAAUAAGGUGGCUACAUAAACUUGAAUGAUUUCACUGCUCACCAGUUCAGAAUAUAGAGAUCAUUACACACUCAAAAAAAUUGCAUGACAUGGUAAAGUGAAAUAAUACAUAAGAUGUCAUUUGUUUGGACAGCAACAUAGAACCAGGAUCAGCCUUCAUGCCACCGUGGAUCACCAAUAACACCAAAGUGGGUGAAAGUCUGGGAAAUAACUGCAUAGUGAGACUAAUGCAAACAUGUGGCAUGGAGGAAACAAGUGUGUUUGUCCACGAGAGGUCUCCAGAGCCCUGUGUAAUCACAGGGUAUUCCCAUGAAUUCCUCUUCAGUGUUGAAAUGAGAGGGGUGUUUGAGAUGGGUUUAGCUCUGCUCACCAGUGCACCUUUGGAGAGAGAAGGGCAAGAGGCAUUAGAGAUCCCCACAGGUAUGGACACGUGGUGAUGUGUUAACCAUGAAUCCCUCUUUGUGUAUGUGCUCAUAGUAUAGAAUUGAGCCAGGAAUGGGCUGAAACCAUCAUGGUCAGAGCCCCAAAGUCUGGUGCAGAGGGAGUAGCAAGUUUGAGGGCCUCUGCCCACUGCUUUUCCAGGGAGGUUUGGGUGCUCAUCUCCCCUCAUCAGUUUAUGGGAACCCCCAUGUGAGCCCCUAUGGAGCCAUCCUGUUUGUUCUUCCUCAGCUGGGAGGAAAAGUAUGGAUGAGGGAUGUGAAGAAGAGGCAGGCAAAUGUCCCCAGAGGGGAGAACCAGCAUGCAGUUGCAUCCAUGCUUUCCCAGCAAAACACACAUUAGCCCACGGUUCAAGAAAGCAGUAAUGGAGGAGAGUAAAUAUUGCUCAGUAUUCUCAGUUUCUGGCAGCAAUUUAGAGGAGCUGCACUACUUGAUUACACAUUCUACAAGUUUUUGAGCAGUUUCCUUACAGCCAACAUUAACGUUAAGAUUUGUCUUGACGCUCUCUAGGACCAGAACAAAGCAGAUCACAAAGCCAAACCAGAAGGAGCAAGACGCUGAAGGCUGUCAGGGCAUUCACAGAUAACCAGGAGAAAAGGUAUUCAUGCUUGUGAAAGUGUCUUACCUGGUAUCAAAUAACUGGUCAGCCAAUGAUGGGGAAGAAAGGGAAAAGUGUCAAGUCUUUUUUGAAAUAGUUUUACCUGGAGACCACUAAUAUGCUGGAGGGUAUUUGCCAAAGAUGCAAUCUUAGCAGAUGAGUGGCUACUUCAGCAAUUUCUCUGCUGAAAUAGUGGGAACUCCCUAGAUGUUGACCUUUCAAGAUUGUCAACAUUCUGAAGAGCUUGCACAAUUGUACUACUGAAGCAUUAAUUUUGGCUUCCCUACAAACAUUUGUCCUUCACGCACCUUGCAGGAUAGUCACACAAAGUACAUUUUGAUUCCGAACAUCCAGAAAUCAGAUUAAGCUUUGUUUCUGCUCUAAUUAGUUGCUGACCAGGAAGCAGAAGAAUUACUAAACACUAAUAGAUGUUAAUCUCCAUCCAAGAAGACUCCAUAGAACAAAUGUUUUCUGAAAGUGUUUAUUCAUGAUAUCGCACUGAGUGAUGUGGGUUAGAGGGCAGAGUGGGGAUGGGUUGGGGUUGGACUUGAUGACCUUAAUGGUCUUUUCCAGCCUUAAUGAUUCUAUGAGCACAUUCUAAGAAUUCAUUCUCACAACAUCACAAGAAAAGAUUGAUUUUUUUUUUCUGUUUGUUUAAACUGUAAGUUGCAUAUUGUUUGCUUCCAGAAGGAUAUUGUUUCUUUAUCCUCUUCUAAGUAAAGGGAAGGACAAAAUCAAGUCUAUAAAAAUGCAGCUCCGUGCUGCAGAACGUCAUUCUUUCUACCUAUUCUUUCUACUAUCCUGUGAACAAAGAGUAAAUCAGAAUAAACGAAUUAGACAGCUCAUUUAAAAGACAGCAGAAGAUCAUUUUUCUGCUAUCCACUUUUUCUCAGCUGGUCACAGUGAUUGGGAUUCUCAGAGGGUAUGGCUGGAGGAGCACAGAAGAUGUAAUGUGCUGAAUUAGCAGUGGUUGUACCAAGCGCAGAUGCUCUCUUAAAAGCCGUGUAAGCACAGAUAGAGUAUGGAUAAUGAUAAUCACUCUGAGUCUGAGCUACGGUGUGAAACAUGAACUGCCUGCAAAGAGUGGAAAUGGGCUCAGCUUUCUCUCACCACAGGCCUUAGCCCAAGACAAAGCACUUUGAAAGUUCCAGCAACCGCUUACGCCCUUUUUAAUUGUUAAGAUUUAUCAGAUACUGCCGUGAGGACAGCAGAAUUCAGCACUACAACUUUUAAAGAGGAACCAAAUAAACCUUUACCUCCUCCAGCAUGUAUUUCACCAAAUCCCUGUUGGCUGUUGUAAGUAGGGCAUAAAUCUCCAUAGCUAAUACCUUUGCAUAUUCUUCCUUGGAACUCUUUUCGCUCGCUUCCUUUACCAAAAAUGGAAGCAAACCCCUGCAAGACAAACACCGUGUGCUGAGCCGCUCAGCACCAGCUUCCUCCCAUCACGACCCCGUGCAGCCUUCACAAAGGCAGAGGCCCCCAGAAGAUCUGGGCUUUGAACAACGAAUGCCUUAAGUGUGGUUUUCAACUUUUCUUUUCUUUUUUUUUUUUUUCUGAUUUGUGGACCAUUAAAAACGAUCCAGCAGGGAUACAGGAUACCCUUUAAAAUAUGGAGAUUUCUGCAUAGCAUAUGUGAACUCUUCUUUUUUUCCCCUCUUUCAUGGAGCCCCAGGGAGCUGCUGAAAACGCCAGCCCUGGGAGAUCAAACAAGACCAGGCUCUGUGAAUCAGACGGGAAACAAAUUCAAGAGACAAGACCCUAGCGGAAACACCCUCUGGAGUUGUUCGAAAAGACAAAUUGGAAGUGCAAGUCCCAGCAGACAGCAAAACCAUCCUGAGCUCAUGAAAGGAGAAGGCAGCAACCUGAAGUGAUGCUUUUCUGUGGGACUGCAUUGUCGAUGGGAGCAGAGCUUCCCACCAGUGCCUGUGCUGUGGCAACGUGAAAGGCAACAAGCACAUACGUGUACUCUCCUGCUCCUGCACAAAUUCAUCCAUCCAUUUCCAAAACUGUCCAAGAUCUUCGCUCUUCAGUUGGUAUGAGACCUGGGAUACACCAGUUUAUAUUGCUAACUCUUGUGUAUUUAUGAGAACGAAACGGGUGUUAUAAGAACUCAGCCCAGACUGGUCCUGGUGAAGGAAACUCAGCACAAAAGGAACAAUGGAAGAACCUGCUGUUUCAAUCUGAUGAAGUCCUUGAUGUUAAUUAGCAACCACUUGACUUGUGGCAGCAGAAACACUUGCUGCGCUGGUUAUGUCAGGGCUGGCUUCUACAAGGUUUGAAAGAAGAGAUGAUAAAUGUGAAUGCAGACCCAAGGUCUGCCUGUGAACACCACCGCAUGCCCUCUUGUAGAGUUGGACCUCUUUUACAUCCUUUGCCACUAUGUCCUGUUAGUGAUGAUGAAUAAAUGCUUGAAAUGUUA